GAUGAGGAACGCAGCGAAAUGCGAUAAGUAAUGCGAAUUGCAGAAUUCCGUGAGUCAUCGAAUCUUUGAACGCACAUUGCGCCCUCUGGUAUUCCGGAGGGCAUGCCUGUCUGAGCGUCAUUGUCAACCCUCAAGCUCAGCUUGCUGUUGGGUCCCCGUCGUUGCUUUAACGGCGGACCCGAAAGGUAAUGGCAGAGUCCGUGAGACCCUAGACGCAGCGAGCUUCUAGCACGCUUCUGGACGUUUUUCGGGCUCGGUCUUAACUAGAUGAUAACUUCCGAUUGACCUCAGAUCAGGUAGGGAUACCCGCUGAACUUAAGCAUAUCAAUAAGCGGAGGA
rnacentral:misc_RNA from 1 species